AUGAUCGUCCCCAGGGAAGGGAAGUGUGGAGCAUGGUGGCCAUGUGGAGUGGGCAGAGCCUGUCAGAUAUCUUGCAACUCAGAAGGGAGAAUAAAGUCAAUCUUCAGGAAAACUGGAUCAACUGUUGAUAUCUCCUGUGAUAUUAAACAAAGUACCAGGUACAUCCACUGGUACUUCUUCCCAGAGGAGAUGGUUCCAAGACGCCUUCUCUACUAUGACACUUACUACUCAAGCAAGGAGUUGGAUUCAGGAACCAGGGCAGAUAAAUAUGAUGCUUCUAAAAUCACAGACCAGAGUUUUAAGUUGCAUCUGAAACGUUUGGAAGCGAGUGACUCUGGUGUGUACUACUGUGCCGUAUGGGUAGAUUAUUAUGAGAAACUCUUCGGUAGUGGAACAACACUUGUUGUCACAGAUAAAGACAUUAUUGGAGAUGUUUCCCCAAAGCCCACUAUUUUCCUUCCUUCAAUUGCUGAAACAAAUCUCCAUAAGGCUGGAACAUAUCUUUGUCUUCUUGAGAAUUUUUUCCCUGAUGUUAUUAGCAUAUAUUGGAAAGAAAAGAACGGCAAUAAGAUCCUGGAAUCCCAGCAGGGACAUACCAUGAAGACUGGCAACACAUAUUACCCAACAGCACCUAGCAACCUAGGAUAUGUUGUCACCGCUGUUCCUUGUGUGCAAGAUGAAAGCGAUGAACUGUUGCUGCAGCUCACGAAUACCUCUGCGUACUACACCUACCUCCUCCUGCUCCUCAAGAGUGUGGUUUAUUUUGGGGUCAUCGUCUUCUGUCUGAUUGGAAGAACAGCUGUCUGCUGCAGUGGGACGAGAUCCUAAGAGAUCGUGGCACAAAGGGUUCGUCUUCUCUUCAUCAUUUAUUGUCCCCAAAAGUGUCUGCUGAGGAUCUAGCUGGGCUUGCUUUCUGGAUUUGGGCUAUUUUAGCUUCCAUGUGUGUUAUUCUAUUAUGUCAUUAUUUGGUGGUGGUUUUUCAAACCAGUGGCAAACAGAAAACUUCAUCCUGUAACAACAGUGAGUUGCUCAGGGCAGCCUUUAGCACAACUCUCUCCGCAGUCUCCACCAGCACCUCCAGCCAACCCAGGUCAUCACAUCACGGCCUCAGUGUAGACAGCAGGCAGCUUCCAGCCUCACCCCUUAGUGCCCUACAGCCAGAUAACCCCCAGAAAGCCUUCCCUCUACACACCCUGAAGCAGCCUUCUUUGCUACUGGAAUGCUGUGCUUUGUUUUUCAUAAUAGGCACA